AUUGAACGCUGGCGGCAGGCCUAACACAUGCAAGUCGAACGAGUGGCGGACGGGUGAGUAAUGUCUGGGAAACUGCCUGAUGGAGGGGGAUAACUACUGGAAACGAUCGCUAAUAGCGCAUAACCUCGGGUGCGCCGAUAUGGGUUUAGCUAGUCGGUGGGGUAAAGGCUCACAUAGGCGACGAUCCCUAGCUGGUCUGAGAGGAUGACCAGCCACACUGGAACUGAGACACGGUCCAGACUCCUACGGGAGGCAGUAGUGGGGAAUAUUGCACAAUGGGCGCAAGCCUGAUGCAGCCAUGCCGCGUGUAUGAAGAAGGCCUUCGGGUUGUAAAGUACUUUCAGCGGGGAGGCGUUACCCGCAGAAGAAGCACCGGCUAACUCCGUGCCAGCAGCCGCGGUAAUAC
rnacentral:rRNA from 1 species